rnacentral:rRNA from 1 species
AUGGGGCGGGGGAAGAUCGAGAUAAAGCGGAUCGAGAACGCCACCAACAGGCAGGUGACCUACUCCAAGCGCCGGUCGGGGAUCAUGAAGAAGGCGCGGGAGCUCACCGUGCUCUGCGACGCCCAGGUCGCCAUCAUCAUGUUCUCCUCCACCGGCAAGUACCACGAGUUCUGCAGCACCGGCACCGACAUCAAGGGGAUUUUUGACCGCUACCAGCAGGCCAUCGGGACCAGCCUGUGGAUCGAGCAGUAUGAGAAUAUGCAGCGCACGCUGAACCAUCUCAAGGACAUCAACCGGAACCUGCGCACCGAGAUCAGGCAAAGGAUGGGUGAAGAUCUGGACGCGCUGGAGUUCGAGGAGCUGCGCGACCUUGAGCAAAAUGUCGAUGCCGCUCUCAAGGAGGUUCGCCAGAGGAAGUAUCAUGUGAUCACCACGCAGACUGAAACCUACAAGAAGAAGGUGAAGCACUCCCAGGAGGCAUACAAGAAUCUGCAGCAGGAGCUGGGCAUGCGCGAGGACCCGGCGUACGGGUUCGUGGACAACCCGGCGGCGGGCGGGUGGGAUGGCGUGGCGGCGGGCGGGUGGGAUGGCGUGGCAGCGGUGGCGAUGGGCGGCGGCUCGGCGGCCGACAUGUACGCCUUCCGCGUGGUGCCCAGCCAGCCCAACCUGCACGGCAUGGCCUACGGCGGCUCCCACGACCUGCGCCUCGGCUAA